CCUACGGGAGGCAGCAGUGGGGAAUAUUGGGCAAUGGACGAAACCCUGACCCAGCAACGCCGCGUGAAUGAAGAAGGCCUUCGGAUUGUAAAGUUCUUUUCACAGGGACGAAGAAAGUUACGGUACCUUUUGAAUAAGCCUCUGCUAACUACGUGCCAGCAGCCGCGGUAAUACGUAGGUGGCGAGCGUUAUCCGGAUGUACUGGGGGUAAAGGGCGCGUAGGUGGGAUAGCAAGUUAGAUGUGAAACUCCAAGGCUCAACCUUGGAACUGCUUUUAAAACUGUUGUUCUUGAGUGCCGGAGAGGAAAGCGGAAUUCCGUGGGUAGCGGUGAAAUGCGUAGAUAUAAGGAGGAACACCAGUGGCGAAGGCGGGUUGCUAGACAGUAACUGACGCUGAGGCACGAAAGCGUGGGGAGCAAACAGGAUUAGAUACCCUUGUAGUC
rnacentral:rRNA from 1 species